rnacentral:tRNA from 1 species
GGGGUUGUGGCUCAGUGGUAGAGCACUUGUCUGGUACAUAAGAGGCGCUGGGUUCAAAUCUCAGCACUACA